GUUCCAGACACAUCUCAUCUGAUAUACAAUAUUUUCUUAAAUUGUAUAAAGAGAAAUUAUUGUACAUUGGAUGAGCUGUGUCUGGGAU
rnacentral:pre_miRNA from 1 species